CAGCAGCCGCGGGAAUACGUAGGUCCCGAGCGUUGUCCGGAUUUAUUGGGCGUAAAGCGAGCGCAGGCGGUUAGAUAAGUCUGAAGUUAAAGGCUGUGGCUUAACCAUAGUACGCUUUGGAAACUGUUUAACUUGAGUGCAAGAGGGGAGAGUGGAAUUCCAUGUGUAGCGGUGAAAUGCGUAGAUAUAUGGAGGAACACCAGUGGCGAAAGCGGCUCUCUGGCUUGUAACUGACGCUGAGGCUCGAGAGCGUGGGGAGCAAACAGGAUUAGAUACCCGAGUAGUCCCUGUCUCUUAUACA
rnacentral:rRNA from 1 species